rnacentral:rRNA from 1 species
ACCAAGUACUUCUUACCUGAAUAAAAUAGGGUUUGAAGAGCAAACCCGGGGAACUGAAACAUCUAAGUACCCGGAGGAAAGGACAUCAAUAGAGACUCCGUUAGUAGCGGCGAGCGAACGCGGACCAGCCGAGCCAUGAUUGUGAUCAGAACACAUUGGAAAAUGUGGCCAGAGUGGGUGACAGCCCCGUAUGAGAAGCAAGAUUGGACGUAUUAAGUAGGGCGGGACACGUGAAAUCCUGUUUGAAGAUCGGAGGACCACCUCCGAAGGCUAAGUACUCCUUACUGACCGAUAGUGAACCAGUACCGUGAGGGAAAGGUGAAAAGCACCCCGACGAGGGGAGUGAAACAGUACCUGAAACCGGACGCCUACAAUCAGUUGGAGGGGCAUAAGCCCUGACAGCGUACCUUUUGUAUAAUGGGUCAUCGACUUGGUCUAUCUAGCAAGCUUAAGCCGUUAGGUGUAGGCGCAGCGAAAGCGAGUCUUAAUAGGGCGCAUGAGUUAGAUGGAUCAGACCCGAAACCGAGUGAUCUAGGCAUGACCAGGAUGAAGAUAAGGUAACACUUAUUGGAGGUCCGAACCCACACCUGUUGAAAAAGGUCGGGAUGAGUUGUGCCUAGGGGUGAAAGGCCAAUCAAACUCGGAGAUAGCUGGUUCUCCGCGAAAUCUAUUUAGGUAGAGCGUCAUCCGAAU